CAAGCUACACACCUAGUCUGGCGAGCUGAUCAGCAUGCCGCGUGUGUGAGAAGGCCUUCGGGUUGUAAAGCACUUUUGUCCGGAAAGAAAACUUCUGCCCUAAUACGGCGGGAGGAUGACGGUACCGGAAGAAUAAGCACCGGCUAACUACGUGCCAGCAGCCGCGGUAAUACGUAGGGUGCGAGCGUUAAUCGGAAUUACUGGGCGUAAAGCGUGCGCAGGCGGUUUGUUAAGACCGAUGUGAAAUCCCCGGGCUCAACCUGGGAACUGCAUUGGUGACUGGCAAGCUAGAGUAUGGCAGAGGGGGGUAGAAUUCCACGUGUAGCAGUGAAAUGCGUAGAGAUGUGGAGGAAUACCGAUGGCGAAGGCAGCCCCCUGGGCCAAUACUGACGCUCAUGCACGAAAGCGUGGGGAGCAAACAGGAUUAGAUACCCCCAGUAGUCCA
rnacentral:rRNA from 1 species